AAUUUCUAAUAUUUUUGUAGUACGUAUCAACGACACUGUCACCUUUGUCGAGGAUGGCUUUGAUGAAGACAUUGAGUUCGGUGAUGAGAUCAGUGAUGACGAUGAAGACGAUGUUGACAAUAUCUGAUGACCUCCAGUAUAAAUAUAUUUAAAAGGUAUGAUACAGGAGUGCAUGAAGAGACCCAUUCAUUUUACAAGAUGCUACAAUUCGUUGCGCAACUGAUAUAUAAAAAUUCCUUUUUUUUAAAUAAGUAGUCAAUUUCUCUGUAUUAAAUAAAUUUUCACUUAUCCGUGUAAUAUUGUGUUCCGGUCUUACGAUUGUUGGACGCAAAAUUUUCAGGAAUAUAAAUCUCAUUAGUCUUAUGGUAUUCACUAUAUAGCCUGCCUUUUAAUUCUUUGUGACCUUGGAUUAAAAAUAAUGGUCCCACUUAGAAUGGACCAAAGUAUAUAUCGAUUUUCUUAAAAAUUUACACUUAAAUUCUGUAUUUGAAUAAUCUUUCAGUUUUACUGUUCGGCAGGAACGAUCUAAAAAUGCGGAUAGUUACUGUAUUUAUGUAUGUUACCAGUACGUUGUUCUUGUAGCUCUUUUCUUUUGUACAUUUUUUCUAUAACAAAUUAAGUGACACAUGUAUUUCAUCAUCGCUGUUUUUAAUCAGGGGGUUUAGUGAGUCACCAUACAUCACACACAAUAGUUAUUUCUAUAUGUGUUAAAGCGUUUCUCAUUGAAGAAUUUGUUAUAUAAUACAUGUGCAACUUGUCAAAGGAGAUUAUGUAAGUGUAUUUUAAAAAACGGUUCAGUGUAAUAUUGAAAUCAGAAUAUUAAUAGUAAAUAAUAAAGCAAUAUACAAACAUUAAUAAUGGUGCAUGAAAAAAUUUCUGUUAGAAACGAAAUAACGAUCCCCAUAAUCGGUGCAACAAUUAGCUCGAAAAUGUUUUCGAAAAAAAGUAUUAGUUACGUAUUAUAUUACACAUUACUUUUAAAUAUUAUUAUUUUAUUCUUCUGUACUUUGUAUUAAAAAAAAAUAUAGUCAAGUUGUAUGGAUCAUGUUACUGUUGUGUAAAACAUUGAUUCCAUAAACUUGUACUAAAGGAAAUUCAUGUCAACUGUUAACAACGAAUAAAAAUAUCUAAAACGCUAAA